rnacentral:rRNA from 1 species
AUUGAACGCUAGCGGGAUGCUUUACACAUGCAAGUCGAACGGCAGCGCGGACUUCGGUCUGGCGGCGAGUGGCGAACGGGUGAGUAAUGUAUCGGAACGUGCCCAGUAGCGGGGGAUAACUACGCGAAAGCGUAGCUAAUACCGCAUACGCCCUACGGGGGAAAGCAGGGGAUCGUAAGACCUUGCACUAUUGGAGCGGCCGAUAUCGGAUUAGCUAGUUGGUGAGGUAACGGCUCACCAAGGCGACGAUCCGUAGCUGGUGUGAGAGGACGACCAGCCACACUGGGACUGAGACACGGCCCAGACUCCUACGGGAGGCAGCAGUGGGGAAUUUUGGGCAAUGGGGGCAACCCUGAUCCAGCCAUCCCGCGUGUGCGAUGAAGGCCUUCGGGUUGUAAAGCACUUUUGGCAGGAAAGAAACGUCGCGGGCUAAUACCCCGUGGAACUGACGGUACCUGCAGAAUAAGCACCGGCUAACUACGUG